rnacentral:rRNA from 1 species
GCUGUCACGGCGGCCCCUAAACUCAGUGGCGGGACCGUGCGGCUCUCAGCGUAGUAAUUUAUCUCGCUACAGGGUCCGGACGGUGCUAGCCAGCAACCCCAACUUCUUAAGGUUGACCUCGGAUCAGGUAGGGAUACCCGCUGAACUUAAGCAUAUCAAUAAGCGGAGGAAAAGAAACCAACAGGGAUUACCUCAGUAACGGCGAGUGAAGCGGUAACAGCUCAAAUUUGAAAUCUGGCUCUUUCAGGGUCCGAGUUGUAAUUUGUAGAAGAUGCUUCGAGUGUGGUCCCGGUCUAAGUUCCUUGGAACAGGACGUCAUAGAGGGUGAGAAUCCCGUAUGCGACUGGGUGCCUUCGCUCAUGUGAAGCUCUUUCGACGAGUCGAGUUGUUUGGGAAUGCAGCUCAAAAUGGGUGGUAUAUUUCAUCUAAAGCUAAAUAUUGGCCAGAGACCGAUAGCGCACAAGUAGAGUGAUCGAAAGAUGAAAAGCACUUUGGAAAGAGAGUUAAACUGUACGUGAAAUUGUUGAAAGGGAAGCGCUUGCAACCAGACUUGCCCGCCGUCGAUCAUCCGGGGUUCUCCCCGGUGCACUCGGCGGUGUUCAGGCCAGCAUCGGUUUUGGUGGUGGGAUAAAGGCCUUGGGAAUGUAGCUUCUUUCGGGGAGUGUUAUAGCCCUCGGUGCAAUGCCGCCUACCGGGACCGAGGACCGCGCUUCGGCUAGGAUGCUGGCGUAAUGGUUGUAAGCGACC